rnacentral:snRNA from 1 species
UCUGUUUUAAUCAGUGUGAAAACUGGUUUUCGCCUUUUGGUGGACUUUUUCACUCGCAUUUUUGGGCAAUCGUCUGCGGCUAGCUUGCUAGCGGCGGACGAGCGGUCUCCGGGGGCGUACACCUUUCCCCCGAGGCCA